rnacentral:rRNA from 1 species
UACGUAGGGGGCAAGCGUUAUCCGGAUUUACUGGGUGUAAAGGGAGCGUAGACGGCAUUGCAAGCCAGAUGUGAAAGCCCGGGGCUCAACCCCGGGACUGCAUUUGUAACUGUAGAGCUAGAGUGUCGGAGAGGCAAGUGGAAUUCCUAGUGUAGCGGUGAAAUGCGUAGAUAUUAGGAGGAACACCAGUGGCGAAGGCGGCUUGCUGGACGAUGACUGACGUUGAGGCUCGAAAGCGUGGGGAGCAAACAGG